rnacentral:lncRNA from 1 species
GGACAGAAGGAGGAUUUGGAACCAGGAGUCCCCGGAGGCCCCAGGGAACAAAGGCAGAAUGUGAAAGCAUCUUAGCAAUCCCUGGGCACCAACCCUUGCUCCUCCCACCUCAAAGACCAGGGGAUUCACCAGGCAUGGUGGCACUCGCCUGUAAUCCCAGUGAGAUUACACUCGCCUGUAAUCCCAGCAGGAGGCUGGGGCAGGAGGAUCACAAGUUCAAAGUCAGUCUCAACAACUUAGUGAGGCCCUCAGCAACUUAGUGAGACCCUAUCUCAAAAUUUAAAAUAAUAAUAUUAAUAGUAGUAAUAAUAAUAAUAAUAAUAAUGGCCGGGGUUGUAGAUCAGUGGUAAGCAUCCCUGGGUUCAAUCCUGGUACAAAAAACCCAAAAACAAACAAACAAACUAACAACAAACAAACAAACAACCAUGAGGACGGUCUCAGGGUCUUAGAGAGCUGAGGGGUCAGGUCCACAGUCACCUACAUGGUGAAUGGAGGAGUUGGGACUCAGGCCCUGGGCAGUUGUCAAGAGCAAGAACCUCCUAAUUAAUUCUGAACACAGGGCCUUUCAAAUCCCUUGUGCUGCCACACUAUGUGCCACAGAGAGGAGGGAAAGGCCUGGUGGUCUCCAUGUGUGCAGCACACACCCCUUCCCUUUCCUGGCAUCCUUCUGAAGGAGGCAGAGUGGCCAUGACUUCUUCAUUUUGCAGAUGAGGUCACUGAGGUGCAGAAGGUGGAGCUGAGCUGCUCACAGUAGCAGAGCUGUCCAGUGCAGCCCACGCCCAGCCCUACCAUGCUCUCCAGCUGGAUCCCUCUCCUGCUGUGUCCUUUUCUCCAGGAUCCUGAGACUCCAAUAGAGGUACCAGAUACCCUGCUCCAGAGGUGUCUCUGUGGGUCCAACCAGAGUCCAGGAUCCCUCCUCCUUGCCCAGGGCUGGGGAUCUGCAGAUAGGGCUGUCGCUCCAAUGAGGCUUCAAGCUGUGGGCUCUAGGCCUGGGGGUUGGAGGGCGGGAGAGUCUUCAGAUGGUUCCACUGGGGCAGCUGAGGUGGCCAUGAGCUCAGCUUACCCAGAACAGCCCUGCUAAAAGCCCAUACAAAACCCUGGAGCUCCUGAUUGGCACUGCUAGGCCUCCCUCCCAGGACAGCGGGAUAGGAGAUAAAAGCCCUCCUCCAACUGGAGACAGUUCCAGAUGAAACCUCCCAGAGCAUUCAUCCUGACCAGCUUUGGAAAGUGGGCAGCAGGUGGCUCACAAAACCCUUUUCAUUAGUCUCUGUCUGUCCCAGUCACUUGUGAAAGUCACCUAGUCUUUGGUCCUAAAACCAAGUACGCUUUUCUCUACCAAGAGUUAGGCCUGGUUUCUGGCUUUGUCCACACCCCAAAAGGGUAAAGGAGGCUCCUGGGAAGGGAGGAGUGAUCAAGCCACCUCCCUCUUAUGAAUUGGACCCUCACUCUUUGCAUGUACCUUAAAUGAUCCCCCAAAACUAGACCUUUACAUCAUAACCAGUUUCCAUCUGGGACUGGUUCCCAUUGGCUGACCUGAGGGUGAAGCUAAGGAAAGAAGGUGUAUCUGAACUUUUCCUGUUUAUCUGAUCAUCUGUUGUUAUCUGUCCCCACCCUUAUAAUGUAAACUGUAAUGCUAUAAUAGGUUCAUGUAGGAACUUCAAUGCUAAAAGUCAUAUAUCCUGUUACUAUAUAGUGUUUGCCUAUCAGCUGGGGACAUCUGAGACCAGAUGUCUCAUGGCCAAGGGGAUUUUGCACUGACUGGCUAGGCCUGGGAUACACUGGUCUGUACACAUGACUCCCCUGCUCAUAUACCCUGUGGCUCCCACUGCAGGAUGUUGAGUCCCCUUCCACAGCCUGACCUUCAAGGCCCGCCACCCUCUUACUUCUGCCACACUGACCUCCAGAUCCCCAAGCUUUGGCACAUGGGGUUUUCUCCCUCCUUGCCUCCCAUCCUUCCUUCCUCCCUCCCUCCCCUUAAAGAACCCUAGACACUCUUCUUUUGGGGGAGGGUAACGGGCAUUGAACUCAAAGGCUGUCAACCACUGAGCCACAUCCCCAGCCCUAUUUUGUAUUGAGGAGAGGGUCUCACUGAGUUGCUUAGCACCUCACAGUUGCUGAGACUGGCUUUGAACUUGCGAUCCUCCUGCCUUAGCCUCUCAAGCUGCUGGGAUUACGGGGGUGCGCCACUGUGCCUGGACCCAAGACACUUUUCUAGGAGCUGGAGACACAGGCAUUAAGUGCAGUGGACAAGGCACAGGAAACCUUUGCUUUCACUGUAGGGGUGGAGACAGAUAAAAACAGAUAUGCAAAUAAGAUGAAUUCAGAUGUGCUGCGAAUACAAUAAAACAGGGGGAUGUGCUAGGGGGUUCUGUGGGGUUGGAAUGAGCUCCAAUUCUGCUCCCUACUCCCUGAUCUGCACAGGUACAUGUUGCUUAAGGCCUCCCAGAGGCCACCUCCUCCAGGAAGCCCGCCUACCACAACUCCUGGUCUGGCAGGUUCCCCCCACCCCACACUGGACUCCAGACCACUUUGUUCCCUUUCCUCUGAGGGAAGGUAUAGAGUGUCCUGUUCUGUAGGCAGCAUCCACCCCUGCUGCAGAGCUGAGCGCAGGGCCAGAGCAAGCCUGUACCUCCCUCUCGCCUGGCACAUGCCAAUGCACGGAGCUGCUGCUCGAUGGGGUUUACCAGGGAAACCGUGCAACGGUCUCUCUUCCUUCAAGGGAGAAGAGCUACAAGGGCUGAGCCCCAGGGUCAUUAACUGAAAAGAGAGCUACUUCUAACCCUGGUGAGGAUCAGGCCUGGGGAUGGGGUACAGUUGAAUGGAAGAAUCCAUUUCCCCAGCGGGUGGGGGCAGUGAUGGGUGGGUUAAAGUAAACCCAGGGUCAGGGAUGUGUCCCAUUCUUUUUUUUUUUUUUUUGAUAGUAGAGAUUGAACCAGGGAUGCUUAACCACUGAGCCACAUCUUCAGCCCUUUUUGUUUUUUAAGUUAGGAAAGCUAAGUUGUUUAGAGCCUUGUUAAAUUGCUGAGGCUGGCCUCAAACUUGUGACCCUCCUGCCUCAGCCACCUGAGUUGCUGGGAUUAUAGGUGUGCCUGGCAACCUUCUUUUAAACCUUUAAAUGGUUUGCUUUGAUGAGGGGGCUAAAAACAACACAAUGCCUCUUCCUUGGCUUUGAAAAUUCUGAACUGUGUAGCUCUGUGUGUGUGUGAUGGGGGAGGGUUGUCCUGGGACAUGUACUUUGAUAAGGUGUAGGGGCGGGUGUGGGAUGGCUGUGGGACGGCUGUGGUUUCGAGCAUGUGUGCAGUGGGGGUGUUGGUGUGCUGAGUGUGGUUCUGAACAGUGAGUGUAGGUGUGUGAGAGGCUGAGUGAAUGUGUAUGUGAACGCAGUGGUGAUGUGCAUGGGGGCUGGGGGCUGCUGUGGUGUGCAUGCUGUGUUUGGCUGGGUGAUGGUGUGGCAGUGGCUGGGAUGCCUGUGUGCCUGUGGUGAACCCCCCCGACCCCCAAUGAGGGGCCGAGGUGCAGACGGGGACAGGGAAGGUGGAGCAGCUGUGGCCAGGGCUCUGUGGGGCCAGCAUCCCUGGCAGUUAGGCCCUCCCCCAGCUGUGAAGACCCCACAGCUGGAAGCCAUCGGUGCACCCCCCCUCCCCAUCCCGUGAUGGCUUUUGGGGGUUGCACUUGCCUUUUCAGUUCCCUCAGGUUUGAAGCCCUCUCCUCAAGCCCCAUCCCCACUCUCUUUUCUACUGCCCAGAGCAGACACCAAAAUAUUUCUGCAUUUCCUCUGGAAAAAUCCUGGGAGGUCUGUUUAUGGCAGUAGCUGAGGAGUGCACAUCUGUACACAGUUUAGCUGGGACAGCUGGAAACUCAGGAACUGGAGUUUGCUUGCAUUUGGAGCACAUGGGUGCACACGGUGGCCCCCAUUCCAUCCUUCCCCAUAUUUGCAGGGUCAGGUCCUGUUGCUAUAGACAGAUAACCCCCCACUGUCCCUGUAUGCACACACCCACACAUGCAGACACACUCUGGCACACACUUGAUUUCAGGAGGACUCACAGAGGCACAGACAUGGAAUGGAUGAGGUGGCACAGAGGACUUAGUGCACAUAGGUAUGCUGGCAUAUUUGAAGAGCACACUUGGCACAAGCUUGGCUCCUCCAGCCCUGGAGGCCCCUCGCAGUGCACAGAAGCAGCAUCCUUGAACCUGUCACCCACAAGCUCCAUCUACAGCCCCAGACACGCAGGACAGCACAUGGUGACUCAGCACGCCCACUCGCAACCCUGAGGCAUGGGAGAAGGCGUGACUCAUCUCCAGCCUCCUACAGAAACCCACCUCGAGCCAGUCAGAGCCCCAACACUCAACUUUGGGCAAGGCCUGCCCUCCCCUGGGAGACCUGAGUACUCCGCAGCCUGGGAAGGUCCCUGUUCUUCCCCAUCAUGCCCUUUCCCUGACAGAGGCUGGGCCCUCAGCUGUAUUAUAUGUCCCUCUGUAGGGCAGGGGAGGACAGGGGAAUCGAGGACGCCCAAUUCUGACCUGCCUCUUACCCUCCUUCUGUUCCUGCACCCCAGAUCUUUCCAGAAGCCCAGGAAGUUCUGGGGCCACUCAUCUUACCAGUCUUCCCUCUUCCCUCCACCCCUGUCAGGAACUCAUCCUUCCUCAGUCCCCAACACUGCACCCUCCUUCUGCCCCCUCUUCUGGCUCCUCCUUCUGCCUCCCUCUUUCCUCUGGCUCCAUCUUCUCCCUUAGCCCCAGGCCUCCCAGAUUCCAGCAAAUCUUCAUGGUCAGGAUAGGAAUUUGCUCUUUAGGGCUUGUGGGGGAGGGACAGUCGAAGAUAAGGGAGAGUGGAGGGGGGGGGGUAAAGUGGAAGAAAGCAGAAGGAAUGGCUAUUCAAUGCCAGGUGUCCCACUGUGGGAUUCCCAGGGUUGGGAGACCAAGGGAGCAGGUGUUGGAGUGGGCAGGGACAGGUCUGUGCCACCUAAGCCGGCCUUGCUUUGGAGGGCACCAGUUUUAAGGCUCUGCUGGCCCACAUGGGGAUGAGUUUGUUGUUCUUGGCCUCUCCUAAUCUUUUCAGUCUAGACCAGGAUUCUCCAGACCAGUUCUGGGCCUCCCCUUCAACCGCCUCCAUCCUCCCACAGUCCUGUCUUGGUGGUGGCCUUAGGCCCAAGUAAUCUGCACUCUCUCAGGCCUUGCCAGUCCUCCUGGGGCUCUCCCUCUGGCUGGGAGCCCAGGCUGUCUGCAGACCCUGCCUCCCUGCAGCCCUUCCCACCCCUUUCUUCCAAGUUGGACCAUCAGCUAUUUUCAACUUUCUGUCCUAAACAAUUGUGGAAUUUUAUAACCCAAUUCAUGGGUUAAAACACCCUUGAAACUCCACUGGGAGCCUCAAAGCACUCUCUGUCCUUCAUUUCCUCUUUGUGAGGUUGGGGGCAAGCUUCCCCAAGCUUUGCACCUCAGGUUCCUAAAUGCAAAAUGGAGACACCAAUCUAUUAGACGACUGGAGGCCAGUGUUUGCCCAGUGCCCAGUUCAGGGCCUGAGAGUUAGCAGGGGCCCCUGAUGGAUGUUAAUCCCCUCUCCUUCUUCCACUUUCCCCUUUACUCUUCUAAAUAGUUUAAGCUAGGAAAGGGCAAGCUGACCCCACUGCCCCAGGGACAAAGGAAUGAUGGCCUCAGUUCAAGAGCAAAGUACAGGAGUUUUUGAUUAACUCAGAAACACCAUGGACUUCCAGCAGCCCAGCUGCUCUGGGGUGGGGUGAGGUGGAAAGGGAGGGGAGGUGCUGAGGGAAAAUGCAGGGGAGAGACUGGGAAAUUCAGAACUUAGGACUUGAGGGCAGGGGAAUGCUGAGGCCAAGGCCAUCCCCCUCACCUCUCUAGGGCCCAGGUAAUUCCACAGCCAAGAGGCAGAGCCCGUGCAAGGCCUAGGCUGGCCCUGAGAGCCUGUCCUGCACCCUCUGUGAGAAGGCUGGGUGCUGUCUGGGACUGCAAGGCCAUGGGUGCGCCCCUCUCUUCUUCGUCUCCCUUCCCCCAGCCUGGGGUGCGUCACAAGGGUGUUUUUCUAGACUCAGCUGGAACAAGGUCAUCUGGGCUUUGGAGGGGAAGAGCUGCAAGUGCCCUAGGUCAGUGCUCCCAGGGACUUGGCCAGAAAGCACAGGGUGGGGGUGGGGGUGGGGUGGAACACAGGGAACCCUGGGAGCCCUCAAGAAUCCCAGGGCUGCUCUCAGCCAGAGGGUCUCCCAGGGACCACAAAGCCCAUCUCUGCCUCCAUGCCAGAGAGAUCCCAACCCAUCCCAGGAAGAAAGCCAGAUGUUCUAAAGACCCACCCUUUCACACAGUGGCUGUUGGUUUGGUCUACACAAUCUUCCCCAUUUCUAAUCUGAAUCUUUUUUUUUUUUUUUUGGAUACCUGGGAUUGAACUCAGGGGCACUGGGCCACGGAGCCACAUCCGCAGCCCUAUUUUGAAUUUUAUUUAAACACACUUUCACUGAGUUGCUUACACCUGGUUUUUGCAGAGGCUGGCUUUGAACUCUCAAUCCUCCUGCCUCAGCCUUCCAAGCCGCUGGGAUUCCAGGCGUGUGCCACUGUGCCUGGCUCUAACCUGAAUCUUUUCUGCAAAUCUGAUAGACACCUUUAGGUUCCAGGAAUUAUUCAUGAUAUCCAGGAAGCAGUUUGUUUUUCCUCUUGUGAAUGAGCCAAAUUUGGGGAAGAGUCUAAGCUGCUGGUCUCCAGCCUCGCGGCCCCCAGCCCUCCUCCCCACCCAGCCACAUGGGAAAAUGCCCCGUUAGCCCUUCCAGUCAUGUGAAUGAGGCCACGAUUCAAAGGCAGUGGGCAAGAAGGAGGCCACAUAGAGCAGCCCGAAAGAACCAGCCCUUUGUGCUAGGCUGGGGUCCUUGGGGGAUGAGUGCAUGUUUGGCGUAUUUAGAAAGAUUUCUUUUUUAUAUAAUGAGCAGAGAGGAGGAAAGGGGAGGGCGAGACAGAGAGGCCAAAGGCAGGACUUGGGAAAAGAAGCAAGAGCUGGGGUGAGAGCUGCAAGAGCCACUAGAAGAGCAAAGGGAGGGAUGUAAAGGGGGCCAAAGAGUGCGGGGCAGGGAGAGGGGAAUCAAUUCUUUUUUUGGUACUGGGGAUUGAACCCAGGGGUGCUUAACCAUUGAGCCACAUCCCAGCCCUUUUAAAAAAUUUUUAUUUAGAGACAGGGUCUCACUAAUUUACUUAGGACCUUGCUAAGUUGCUGCAGCUGGUCUCAAACUUGAGAUCCUCCUGCUUCAGCCUCCUGAGCCUCUGGGAUUACAGGAGUGUGCCAUCGUGCCUGGCUGAAAGUGGGCAAUUCUUAAGACCCACAGAGAUAGUGACUGUGUGGAGUUCUUCAGAAAAGCAAGGUUGCUCACUUAUUUGGGGGUGGACGGAUGGAUGAAAUGGAGGUGCCAGGAGAAGGUUUUCCUUCGAUUUUACUUGGGGGAAGAACGAGACUAGCUUUGACUGUGCUGGGACGUGCUCGGUGCUCUAUAAGCAUUAUAUCAUUCAGUCCUCACAACAACCAAAUGAGACAGGGACUAUCUUUAGCCCCACUUCACAGUUGGGGAGCCAGAGCCCUUGAGAGGGUAUGCACUUGCUAAUGCCUAUCAUGAUAGCGGUCAGCUAAGAAGCAGGGUCUGCGUCGAAUCCCGCCUUCUGGUCUUUGCUCACCAUGCUGCUAGGCUAGGUGGGGCAUGGUGCACCUCAGGAGAGAUGAAAGGAGAGCCCCAAAUCAUCCAAUGGUGGGGGCAUGCCAAGAGGAGACUUGGUUCUAGGACAGUAAUAUUUUCUAGUCGUCUCAACAAGCCUGCCUGGGAUCUUUUUUGGGGGUCCUUGAUGAGGUUGGGCACCCCAUCUCCCCUCCACCUGGGAUCCUCUCUGCCACAAUCUGAUCCUCCCACAGAGAAUAGACAGAGGGUCAUUUCCUUCAAUGUCCUGCGUCCUCAGUAACCAGAGUUCUGGGGUGGCCCAGGAGACAUCUUUCCUCCUCAGUUCUUGGCAAAGCAGAUAUAACCAUGGCUCUCAAGAGCCCCUGUUCUCCAUACCCCCUCCCCUCUCUUCUUCCUGUUUUCCAUUCAGCCUCCCCUCUGUUUAUGCAUUUGUUUCUCCAGGACCUGCCUUCACUGGCCUGGAAGAGGGGGACACCUGGCUCUGUGCUGGAAUCCUCAGGUUCAUACAUUCAGAAACAUUUCUAGAGCAGAGACUUAUUUUGGAAUAAGCAAGGAAGUGGGCAAUAACACAGUCUCUGCUCUUACAGGGCCUGACAGCUGGGGCAACGAAGGAGCCAAUCAACGAGUCCACUGCAUGGCGAUAGGGAUGGCUGCAGGGGCCCUGGGAGGCGGGGAGGAGUGGCAAGUUGAGGAGGGCUUCCUGGAGGCAGUGGGGACAGACAAGUCUUGAAGAGAGACCCUCCCUUUAUCAAAUUCUAAUUUACUAUUCCCUUUUCUCUGCUCUUACAACCCAUUUUUGGAAAACAACAGCCAUUCAUCCAUUCGCUAAUGCACUGCAGAAUGUGUGCCAGGCACUGUGCUGGUGUUUGGAAUUCACCAAUGGUGAAGACCGACUUGCUGCCUUCCUGAAGCUGCCAGACCAGUGAGAACCACCAAGCAGGCAAGCAAGGACCCCACAGAGCCCACGUGGAAUCUGUUCUCUCAGAGAAAGGCCUCAAGUCAAGGAGGAGAAGCCACGAUGGCCAUUUUACAGAGGUGGUGGCUUGUCCAAGCCAUAGGGCAAGUACACAGGGAAUCUGAGGCCCCACCUCAGUCGUCAGGCCCUGAGCGCCUGUUCUUGUCUCAUACUUGGGUGGUCCUUGCAGAAAAAUAGGGGCUGAAAGUAAGCUUGCUACCUAAGGGUGACUGGGUGUGGGGUGGGCAAUUAGGCAAGAGAAGAAAUUGAAGACAUUCAAUAGGAAAGGAAGAAGUGAAACUAUCACUGCUGAUAUGAUCACAUGAGUAGGAAGCUAUAAGGAGUCCGUUACAAAACCGUUAGAAUUCAUCGCAGUGUACAAAAACCAACACACACAAAUCAGGAACGUUUCUAUUUGCCAACAAGGAAUUUUGUGAAAAACUAAAUGUAGAGAAAUUAAGAGAACAACUCCAUUUACAAUGGCUACAAAAAAUACUUAGGAAUAAAUUUAACCAAGGAAGAGAAAGACUCGUGUAAUAAAAACAAUGAAAUGUGGAUUAAAGAAGACAGAAGUAAAUGGAAAGAGAUCCCCUGUUCAUGGAUCGGAAUCGGAAUAAUUAAUACAGCUAAAAUCUCCAUAUUUCCCAAUGCGAUCUGCAGUUCAGUGCAACCCCCAUCGAAAUUUCAAUGUCCUUUUUCCUAGAAAUAGAAAAUCAGGUACUUUUCUUUGUAACCUGGGUCUAGUAUUCAGUUUUCUCCUGCUUCUCUCUCUUCUCCCAGUAGGUGGGGCCAUGGGAAGGGCUGGGAAGGGCUGGGAAGGGCUGGGAAGGCCCGGAAGUAGAUGUUCUAAGUCCCUGGGCUAAGCCUGGUGGGGUGCACAGAAUGUUCCUUGGCUUCUGCAUCAUCCCCUCUUCCUCCCACCUCCUCCAGCUCCUCUCCAGCCUUCUCACAUUCUAUCUCCCCCUCUUCAUCUUUUGCCUUUUCUUACUCCAUUAAUUUCUUCUUCCUUUCCCACUCAUCUUGCUUUCUCCUUUCCUUCCUCCCCAUUUUUUCUCCCUAUCUUUUAUCUCCCCCCCUCCUUCCCCCUUCUUUUCUUCUUCGAACUAAUUGCUCAAAGGUGAAGACCAGGUCGACUUGUGAAAACCCUGAUCCAUCGCCAUGGUGAUGCUAAUUCAAGCUGAGUUCAAAGGAAAUUGCUCCAGUUAAAACUAACAAGCUGGAGCCGGCGCCCAGCAAGGACCAGUGCCAAGAGGAGCGAGCCCUGAGCCCCAGUGCCCAGAAAAAUAGGAAAACAACCCCAAGGGCCUCUCACACGCCUACUCCUUACCGUGCCCUCCCUUGCAGCCUUCAGGUCUGUCCCAGCCCAGAGCAAAUCUGCAAGGUCUUUGCAGCAAGCCCCCUGUCUCCAGGCCAGACUUCCCAAGCCACGUCAAGCAGCUGGGCAGCCAGCACCAGCUCUGUUUUAAAGCCAUUGCAUAGUCUCCCUCACGCUGCGGUUCUGGGGUUUAACCACCCUUGCUUUGGAGAGUUCUUUACGGUCCACACCAACACUCUGCAUUGCUUUCUAGUAAGGAUAGACUUGGAAGUACCAGGAGCAAAGGAACAAACCCGAAGAGAUGCUUGCUGUGAGUUCGAUGCUGUCCUAAGACUUCAUGAGUGUUUGCUCAAUUUUGUGGGAAAGAUCCCAAUGGAACAAACUGCUAGGAGCCUGGGGUGACUCCAGCAAGGUCUGGCUGGUUUAAAGAACCACAUGGCAGCCCUCAAACUGGGGAGAGAUGCCUCAAAACUGGAAAGAGGAGGGUCUAAGUACCAGUGACACCCUUCAGGGCUUUGCCCCCUCCAGUCCUUCCUUUCUGGCCCCACAGCCUGCAGCUGUGGUGCCUUCCAUCUCAGCACAUGCCACUUGUAGUCUGGUCACCUGCAUGUGGUUCUUCUCUACUCUGAGGGCAGGGUCCAUGCCUUCUUUUUGCACCGAACAAAAUCUGUUCCAAAGCAGGCCGUGGCUCAAUAUUAAUUUCAUGUCUGAAUGCUGAAGGGGAAGGAAUCCUAGAUCCUUGGGAGGUACAAAAAUUUUAGUUCCCUCAGGUCAUGAGACUCUGAAGGAGCUGGGUUAGGGGAGCUCGGCCCCAUGGUACCAACCGCAGACCAGCUGGAGAAUUUUCUGCUGGAUCUUGUAGUUCUGGUCCGUUGGCCAGGCCACCCUGGACACCCUACUCCUUAGCAGCUCUCACCUCUCUGCCUUUGACCUUCCAGAAGACCUCAUUCCUUUGCUCAACACCCAGUUUUGUGUUUUUUUUUUUUUUUAAAUUUGUAUCUGGGAUGGAACCCAGGGAUACUUUGCCAUGAAGCGACAUCUCUAUUCCUUUUUAUUUUUUAUUCUGAGACAAGUUCUCACUAAGCUGCUGAGGGUCUUGCUAAGUUGCUGAGGCUGGCCUUGAAUUUGCAAUCCUCCUGCCUCAACCUUCUGAGGUGCUGGGCUUACAGGCGUGUGUUCACUGUGCCAGGCUUUUCAAUUCAAUUUUAUUGUUUUAAUCCCAAGAUAUCUAGUGAUCCUCUAGGAACUAAAGAGGUACUGGUCUAGCAGAGGGAGAAAUUCCUUGAAGGCCAAGACCACAUCUAUGCAACCAUCACCUUCUGGUAACCAAAGCACAUAAAAAUGCUGUGAGCUCACUGGAGGGCGCCACAAUUAAAUGAGAGAGUGACCUGAGGCCUGGCUGCCCCAUGGGAAGGAGCCCGAGGGCUUCAGCUCUGCUUUCCUCAGAUGUGCUCCUCCGCUUUGGGAAGGCUCCUCUGCUCUUUGUUCCUCAGCUUCUCCGAGUGUAACAAAGGAUGCUCAUUGCUCAGCCACCUAGCGCUCCCAGACACGUCAGGAGAGUCAGGAAGCUAAGAAUGUGGGACAGCGUCCCUACCUGCACCAAGGCCAGCAGCGCCUCCCUCCCCAACCCAGGAGGUGGUGAAUUGAGGUUCAAGCCCAACCUAUGUCCUACAGACUGUGGGAUUCCCCCCACGUGCACCCCAACGACUGUCCUGAAGGGGAUUACUGUGCCUGGAUUACAGAGGCCAAGUCCUGCCAGGAGGGAGGAGGAAGUGACUCAGCAGGGGCUGGGAAGGCCAGGCCAGCCUCCCACUCUGGGACAGCUUGCAGGGAGCUUUGUGCUCAGCCCUGUUCCUUUCAUCCCAGCAUCUCAAAGCCCCUUUCAAGCUGGAAGCAGCCCUGGGAGCUGGGUCAUUAUCUCAAUUAACAGGAGAAAGCUGAGGCCCAGGCUGGUGGGGGCAACUUUCUUCUGAAUUAAGCCUGGGCAGCCAGAACUUCCCAGCCCCAGGCUUCUGACCCCACUCCGGGUUGGCUGCAGGGGCCUGCUGUGGAGCAAGCAGGAGGGGGCCGAUUUGCCCUUGCCUGUCACUCCAAGCAAGGAUCAAGGUCUUGCAUGAGGACCUGGAGGGGAUAUUGGCAGUGCUGGAAUUUCCUAGAGAACAGUUCAGUGAUGCCAGGUGCCAUGUGGUGGCACACGCCUGUAAACCCAGAGGCCAGGGAGGCUGAGAGAAGAGGAUUGAGAGUUUGAGGCCAACCUCAGGAAUUUAGCAAAGCUCUAACCAACUUAGUGUGACUCUGCCUUAAAAGAACAAAUAAAAAGGAGUGGAGAUGUAGCUCAGUGGUUAAAUACCUCUAGGUUCAAUCCCUAGUACCCAAAUAAAACAAAACAAAACCAUCAAAACAACAAUAAAAAACCAAAACAUUUCAGUGCCCACCAUCCUCACAGUUGUUGCUCAGGAGGAACUUAUAUAGAACGUGUUUUUCCAAGCCGGAGAGAAGGGCUAAGGUGAGUGAACACAUUCUAGGAGUAGACGCAGUUUGGUUUGGGGAGAUCGUCCCCCCCUGGGGGAAGCAUACCUAGGCUGUGGAGACCCUGAGCCGUAUUAGCCAGCAGAUUCUAUUGAGUUUCUCCCAUCUUCACUGUUAGGAGAUUUAUCCAACAAUUCAACCAAUGAUUGCUGGGCUGCUGUGUACCCAGUCUGAGGCAAACAGCACAGUUCUAAAUCCUGCUCAGGUGCUGCCUGGCUGUGCAAACUUGGGUCUUUAACCUCUCUGAACUUCAAUUGCCUCAAAGACUCUUUGGCUCAGUAUCUAGACUGCAGAAGACCCCAACCUACUAACACCCCAACCAUGGGGGACACAGAGUAUAGGGGUUGGCAGGAACCUCCUUCAUGUCCCUCAGGGAACAGGGCAGAUAGAUGACAUGGCGUUCCUCAGGUCACACAACCAGGGAACCUGGGUUGUCAUGAGAAACCUUCAAAGGGAGUGUGUUUGUGCCUUUCUAGGUGGGAUGAGGCGGCUUCGCUGGGUGCUGAGUCAGGGGGAGAGGCUGAGCUCAGCAUGCCGGGAUAAGAAAGGGAGUGUGCAGGUGGGGUGUCGUGGGGAAGCUGGGGCCGAGGAGAACCCAGGAUGUUGCACAAGGAAGAGCGGGAGUGGGGGAAGGGCCACUUUUAUAAGGCAGUGGAAGAGGACAGGUCCAGGCUCCCUGGACGGAGGGCUGCCCGCCCCCGUGAUGAUGCUUCAUACUGCAGGGAUCAAAGCUGUCCUGUGCUCCAUUCCCUGGGAACGGGGAAGAGUGCUGGGGCCACUAACACUCGAGCUUCUCACGGGGGCCUGCUUGAUGUAGCUGCCUCCGUUUCCCUCAUGGCCAGCUCCCGCCCCCGCUUGUUUCUGAAGAGGCCUGUUUUAGCCCAGUUGUCCUCCUGCCGCCUCCAGCUUGGGUGGCUGACUCAGCCCCUGGCUUGAUGUCCAGGGGGCCUGUGGCUGUCCAUCUCAUCAAUGCCAAGCUUCUCUCUCUGGCUUUCACUGGCUUCUGCACAUCAGCCCCCACCUCCAUCUCUCUUUGUCCUGGACAGUGGCUCUGGACUCACCCUAGUUUAUCUGUUCAGUGACCUUGGCAUCUGACUCAAUUUUGUCUUUGGUCUUUGCAUAGUCAGACACAGGGCAUGCUUCGGCCCGGGCCCCUUCCCACCCUGUACUUUAGAAAACUCUCAGUGGCAGAUGAAUCCCUGCAGCCUUCUCUGUUAGCCUCUCUCUCAGCUUCACUUUCUGCAGUGGGCCCUGAUGAGGCCUGGCUCAGGCCAGAAAGCCCAGGCUUGUUUCAGGUCUGCCUGUCUGUGGGUGGCUGCUUGGUCUGGCACAGGACCCUGUGUGGGGAGAUGAGAAAGCCUGGUGGAAGGGAGACAGCUGGAGAGUCCUCUGGCCAAGUCUGGAAGACACAAUAGGGUGGUGACGAAUGGGAAGGAUUCUUCAGAGGGAGGGGACCUGGGCUGGGUAUCCAGAUCAUAAGGAGAAAAGAAUUUGAACUUUCUUCUGGGGUUUGUGCAUUCUAGUGAAUAAUUUCUGCAGUAUGACUUCUUAGAUCAUUAUCUGAGGUUUCCAAGUAUCUUCCCAUUAGGACCCCCUCUGUCUCUCACUCCUCAUAUUCCUCCAUUCCUUCUCUGGCCUCUGGCUCAACUGCCCCUGCCCUUUCAGUACAGGAGACUAAACCCAGAGGUGCUUUAUCAGUGAGUUACAUCUCAAGCCCUUUAAAAUUUUUAAUUUGGAGCCAGUCUUGCUAAGUUGCCCAGACUAACCUUGAACAUGUGAUCCUCCUGCUUCAGCCUCCCAAGUAGCCGGGCUUACAGGCAUGCAUGCAGCUGCACCUGGCCUGGUUUAUGUUGAGCUUUUUGACGUCUUUGAAUGAGUGUUAAUUUCCCCAUUUUGCGUACAAAGGCUUAGAAGGAUCUGGUAAUUUACUUACAGACUCAAAGCCAAUAAUGUUAGCUCUGGGAAAUGAAUCAAGUCCACCUGAAUCCAGAGCCCACGCUCAUCCCUUUACACUCUCAGUACAGAUAUCUGUGUGGCAUAUGCACGUGUGUUCUUGUAUGGGGUUUGUAUUUUCAACUGUGUGUGACUGCCUCAGAAGUGGACUGUUUUUGCUCACGACAUGUUUUUUUUUUUUUUCCCCCUAAGCUUCAUGGAAUCAGAAAUGACAGUGUUAGCCCAGCAUGGUGGUGCAUGCCUGUAAUUCCAGUGGUUUGGGAGGCUGAGGCAGGAGGAUCAAGAGUUCAAAGCCAGCCUCAGCAAAAGUGAGGCACUAAGCAACUCAAUGAGACUCUACAUAAAAUGCAAAAUAGGGCUGGGGAAUGUGGCUCAGGGGCUGAGUGCCCUUGAGUUCAAUCCCUGGUACCCCCCCACCCCCACCCAAAUGCCAAUGUUUGGCUCUGCAGCUUCAGAACCUAGCUUCUGCCCUGCCCAGGGGAAGAGGAAAGUGGUUUCAUCACUGUCACCUGGCAUAGUGGCAGUCAUGGCAACGACGUGGCUUCUAGUUGAAAAUGUAAAAGUGUUUGCAAUGGUAAAGUGGAGAAAGAGGGGGUCAGAGAGCCUGUGCUCUAGGCUCAACCAGCCUUUUACCAAGUACAGGACCCUGGGCAAUCUUUGGACUUCACUCUCCUGAACUGUGCAAUGGUGGGGCGUGGGGGUUGGAUUAGAAGACACAGUGUGAAGAGCAUUCUGGGUAAAAGAGAAGGUAUCAGCCAUUCAUAAAUACCGACUGGAGAUGUUGGAGAAUUGGGACACAUUUUCCCCAGCUGGCUUUCGUUGUCUUUUUCUUUUCCCUUCCCUCCCUUUCUCCUCUUUCUCAUUCUUUUUUCUUUUCUAAUACUGGGGACUGAGUCCAGGGCCUCACAUCCAUUAGCAAGAACUCUACAACUGAAUGUAUUCCCAGCCUUUUAAAUUUUCAAAAAAAAUUUUGAUCUAGGGUCUUGCUCAGUUGUCCAGGUUAGCCUUAAACUUGUGAUCUCCUGCCUUGGCCUCCCCAGUAGCUGGGAUUACAGGCGUGCACACCACGGCAUCCAGCUCUGUUCUUAUGGGACAUCUUGAGGACAGUGCAACCUUCCAUCCCCCUCCCAGAGAGGGCCUAAUUGGAUGGGCCAUCCAAAAUGAGACCUCUCAUAAUGGCAGAAUGGACAACCUGGCAGCCUCCUUCCUCUCAUCAGGGGACAAUAGGAAUUAUUAAAAAUCAAAUUAGUCAUUCCAGAUGCUAAGAACCCUCAAUGAUGAACGUGGUGACGCUGCCCUGUGAGCUAAGCUUGGGAAGGGGUGAUGCUCCUGAGUGAACGAAUGCUGGGAUGCUGUUUUAUAAGGGGCAGAGUCAGAGACAAGCUGGGAGCAGUGGCCUUCCCCUGGUGAGAACCAGGUGCUGAGGGAAAAACCCACCAGUGCUCAUGGUGGAUGGAGACACGCCUGUUCCCCGCCUGAGGAGGACAUUGGCUGCUGCUCUCUGUGGGAGCCUGAGGGCUCCAGAGGGCCACUGCUGCUCUCCUGAGCCAGCAGCUGCUGCCCAGGGGAGGGUGUGCAUGAGCAAGUGGCCAAACUCUGGGUUAGAAAAAGAUGGAAAUAUGGGAGUGAUGUGGUCCAGGUGAUGGGAAAAAAGAGACUGUAGUUUCCUAAAGGACAGGAAAUCAAAGAGCAAGACCAACAGGUCUGCAAGGGAAUGGGACAGAACUCUGUCUCAAGGUCUUCUUUGUUGGAAUUUGUAAGAAAUCAGCCCUUUUGCCGGGCCCUGUGGCACACGCUUUUAUAGGCUAUUCAGCUAUACAGGAGGCUGAGGCAGAAGGAUUGCAAGUAUGAGGCCAGCCUCAGCAAGACCUUGUUUCAAAAUAAAAAAUAAAAAGGACCAGGGAUGUAGCUCAGUGGAACAGUGCCACUGGGUUGAAUCGCCAGUCCUGGAAAAAGGAAAAACAAAAAAUAAAAUAAGAAAUGGAACUUUCUUUGGAGGUUGUGUUGUGUGUUGCUGUUUAGACCUGCCUGAUCCUCCAGUGAGAUGAACCAAUAGGCCUUGCAUAUCUCCAUUUUAGCUCUCCAUAGUUGACCUGGGACCCAUUCUCCAGGAAGAAGUUAUCCAGAAAAAGGCUAGAACUCAUCCCCUAUUUUCUUGCAGGGGAUCUUGCUGAGAUGGGAUAGAGGAACACUAAAUCCUGGUGGUGGGUGACUGGCGAGUCCCCAUGGUUACUGGGAGCAGAAGGAGGAUCCAGGGGGCUAGUAGUGGUAGAGAUGACCAUCCACACACACAUGUGAGAGACUGAAUUCCCUGAAGGCUGUUCAGGUUAGCAAGGAAUGACUUGAGGGAGACCAAAGGAAUAAGAUAUGUUCAGGAUCUGGAUUCACAUAUUCCUCAAUGCCCAUUCUGGCACCGAUGAUUGGACUGGAAACAUAGCCAAGAGGUUAUUUUGUCCAUCUUCCUGCCUCAGGCAGGACUGACUAAAUUUUGAUAUAUGGUUGUCUUCUUGUUUCCCUAUAUCUCCAGGGAUCACCAUAUUAUGUUUUAUUCUACUCACCCACCCAUUCACCUGUGCAUCCAGCCAUCCAUAGUUUAUUGAGGAUGAACAAGGCAAGGUUCCUUUUCCUGAAGACUCUUAGUAUAGGGCGCGGAUGUUGCUCAGUAGGAGGGCACUUGCCAAG